rnacentral:rRNA from 1 species
GAUGAACGCUGGCGGCGUGCCUAAUACAUGCAAGUCGAGCGAACGGACGAGAAGCUUGCUUCUCUGAUGUUAGCGGCGGACGGGUGAGUAACACGUGGAUAACCUACCUAUAAGACUGGGAUAACUUCGGGAAACCGGAGCUAAUACCGGAUAAUAUUUUGAACCGCAUGGUUCAAAAGUGAAAGACGGUCUUGCUGUCACUUAUAGAUGGAUCCGCGCUGCAUUAGCUAGUUGGUAAGGUAACGGCUUACCAAGGCAACGAUGCAUAGCCGACCUGAGAGGGUGAUGGGCCACACAGGGACUGAGACGCGGUCCAGGGUCCGACGGGAGGCAGCAGUAGGGAAUCUUGCGCGAUGGGGGGAAGCCUGACGGAGCAGCGCCGCGUGAGUGAUGAAGGUCUUCGGAUCGUAAAACUCUGUUAUUAGGGAAGAACGUAUGUGGAAGUAGCUAUGCACAUCUUGACGGUACCUGAUCAGAAAGCCACGGCUAACUACGUG